CCAUGACCUGGAGCUCGUCUGAGCUGUUCGACGUUGCCGGAGCUCAUCUCGUUCGUCGCUGAUAAGGUAAGGGUCUACACCCAUUUCCAACAUUUCGACUUGAAGGUUCAGAGUUGGGCAAAAAAGUAUUCCAUCAUCAAAUCAGUUGUUAAUGGCGACAGGGAGAUGAGGCAGUUGCAGUCUGGUAUUUUCUCACAAAGUCCUCCUUCAUCCUUUUGGAGUAGUUCUUUUGCUGAUCUUAUUACUUGCUAGUAAUGUGGAUCGAGUUCUUCCCUAUUUCAUCCCAAGCUCUGAGAUUUUUAUAAAUGUGGGCCCAUUUCUAAAAAUGGUGGAUAAUGCUAUUUUGUAUAAUCACAUUUAUUUGUUACAUGGAUUUAAUAACUCUGAUCAUCAUGUUUGCU